rnacentral:rRNA from 1 species
GAUGAACGCUGGCGGCGUGCCUAACACAUGCAAGUCGAGCGGCAGCGAGGGGUGCUUGCACCCUGUCGGCGAGCGGCGGACGGCUGAGUAACGCGUGGGAACGUGCCCCAAAGUGAGGAAUAACUGCCCGAAAGGGUAGCUAAUACCGCAUAUUAUCUUCGCAUCAAAGGAUUUAUCCGCUUUGGGAGCGGCUCGCGUCGGAUUAGGUAGUUGGUGAGGUAAUGGCUCACCAAGCCGACGAUCCGUAGCUGGUCUGAGAGGAUGACCAGCCAGACUGGAACUGAGACACGGUCCAGACUCCUACGGGAGGCAGCAGUGAGGAAUAUUGCACAAUGGGCGAAAGCCUGAUGGAGCAACGCCGCGUGAAGGACGAAGGCCUUCGGGUUGUAAACUGCUUUUAUAAGUGAGGAAUAUGACGGUAACUGAUGAAUAAGGAUCGGCUAACUACGUG